GGGUCAUUAGCUCAGCUGGCAGAGCACUGGACUUUUAAUCCAUUGGUCGCAGGUUCGAAUCCUGCAUGACCCACCA
rnacentral:tRNA from 1 species